rnacentral:tRNA from 1 species
GGAGGGCUGGCCGAGUGGUCUAAGGCGGCUGACUUGAAAUCAGUUGUGGGACCUCCCACCGCGGGUUCGAAUCCUGCGCCCUCCGCCA